GAUCAUGGCUCAGGACGAACGCUGGCGGCGUGCCUAACACAUGCAAGUCGAACGGAGUCGGCCCCGCAAGAGACUGACUUAGUGGCGAACGGGUGAGUAACGCGUGAGCAACCUGCCUUUCAGUGGGGGACAACAGUUGGAAACGACUGCUAAUACCGCAUAAAGCAUUUUGACCGCAUGAUCGAGAUGCCAAAGAUUUAUUGCUGAAAGAUGGGCUCGCGUCUGAUUAGA
rnacentral:rRNA from 1 species